UUUUUUUUUUACACUCCAAGGUUUUCUUCCAAGAUUGCCCUGUAUUUCGCUCCAUCCAUCUUCCCGUCAACUCUGUCCAUCUUCCCUGUCCCUGCUGAAGAGAAGCACCCCCAGAGCAUAACGCUGCCACCACCAUAUUUGACGGUGGGGAUGGUGUGUUCAGAGUGGUAUGCAGUGUUACAUCUUCGCCACACAUAGUGUUUUGCAUUUUGGCCAAAAAGUUCAAUUUUGGUCUCAUCAGACUAAAGCACCUUCUUCCACGUUUGCUGUGUCCCCACUGCAAACGGGACUUCUUAUGGUUUUCUUUUAACAAUGGCUUUCUUCUUGCCACUCUUCCAUAAAGGCCAAAUUUGUGCAGUGCACGACUAAUAGUUGUCCUGUGGACAGAUUCCCCCACCUGAGCUGUGGAUCUCUGCAGCUCAUCCAGAGUCACCAUGGGCCUCUUGGCUGCAUUUCUGAUCAGCGCUCUCCUUGUUCGGCCUGUGAGUUUAGGUGGACGGCCUUGUCUUGGUAGGUUUACAGUUGUGCCAUACUCCUUCCAUUUCUGAAUGGUCGAUUGAACAGUUGUCCAUGAGAUGUUCAAGCCUUGGGAAAUAUUUUUAUAGCCUAAGCCUGCUUUAAAUUUCUCCAGAACUUUAUCCCUGACCUGUCUGGUGUGUUCUUUGGGCUUCAUGGUGUUGUUUGCUCCCAAUAUUCUUUUAAACAACCUCUGAGGCUAUCACAGAGCAGC